rnacentral:rRNA from 1 species
UACAGAGGCCUCGAGCGUUAGGCGGAAUCACUGGGCUUAAAGCGUGUGUAGGUGGAUGCCUAAGUACCUUGUGAAAUCCCACGGCUUAACCGUGGAACUGCUUGGUAUACUGGGUGUCUUGAGCCACUCAGGGGCUACCGGAACAAAUGGUGGAGCGGUGAAAUGCGUAGAUAUCAUUUGGAACGCCAAUGGUGAAAACAGGUAGCUGGGAGUGUGCUGACGCUGAGACACGAAAGCCAGGGGAGCGAACGGG